rnacentral:lncRNA from 1 species
GGCCGCUACUAUUCUUCCUUGUCCAUCAGGGCGCACCCAUGGCAAAGAACUCUGUGGGAUGCUUCGCUCAAUAUUUUUUAUCUUCAUAGGAUGGUCCACAAAGAGGGACAUAUCACUGAACUGGUUAAAAUCCUCCAGAUCCGAUACACCGUCAACUCCAACUGCUUGUUGCUUUCCUGGAAAAACUACAUGCUUCGGUUUGUCGGUACUUUUCUUCUCAUUCUUAGAAAGGAUCUGCUCAGCAUAGAAAACCUG